GUUCAGAUCACUGGUAUGGCCCUACUAAUGUUUUGGAAAGACUACAAGAAUCACUAAAUUGUCCAUAAUAUUAUAUUUUAGUUAUCUAGUUGUUCACUUUGCAUGUUGUAUUGUUACAUUUAGUCUGGAUUUUACCUUUCUAUGCUAGCUAAUGAAUCAAUCAGAAUGUGUAUGUGAUGCUUAAUUCUCGCCACUCUACAUAUAUGAGCAAAUGGUUCAGCCAGGAAUGUGUUUGUUUAGGAUUUAAAAUAUAGUGCAUAUAUUGGCGGGGAUGGAUGUGGUGUGUGCGUCAGGUGUAGCAAUCUGUGGUGUUUUCUUCUUUAUAUUUUUCUUUUCGCCCUAUUUAGCACUGUAAUAUUUUGGCAGGACCCUCUGGCAAGAUAAUGCUU
rnacentral:misc_RNA from 1 species